rnacentral:rRNA from 1 species
AGCGAACGCUGGCGGCAGGCCUAACACAUGCAAGUCGAACGAACCUUUCGGGGUUAGUGGCGGACGGGUGAGUAACACGUGGGAACGUGCCUUUAGGUUCGGAAUAACUCAGGGAAACUUGUGCUAAUACCGAAUGUGCCCUUCGGGGGAAAGAUUUAUCGCCUUUAGAGCGGCCCGCGUCUGAUUAGCUAGUUGGUUGAGGUAAUGGCUCACCAAGGCGACGAUCAGUAGCUGGUCUGAGAGGAUGAUCAGCCACAUUGGGACUGAGACACGGCCCAAACUCCUACGGGAGGCAGCAGUGGGGAAUCUUGCGCAAUGGGCGAAAGCCUGACGCAGCCAUGCCGCGUGAAUGAUGAAGGUCUUAGGAUUGUAAAAUUCUUUCACCCGGGACGAUAAUGACGGUACCCGGAGAAGAAGCCCCGGCUAACUUCGUG